AGCAGAGAGUGCAUGAUUAUAGACUGCAGAAGUUCUUUGGACUGUGAUUAACAAAUAAUCGAAUUCACUCAUGUGAAUGGGCAUUUAUUACGUUAAAAAAGAUUGAACCAACUAAGAAUAAUAUUAUUCUUUGCAAAAACACGUGUUGAUUUCAACUUACCAGAGGAAAUGAGUUGCAGACAUGUUUGGAACGAAUGGCAGCCAAAAACUGGAAAAAAAACUGCUGUUUCUAGAUCAUUGUGCACCACCAUUCCCUUGGGCAUUCCUGACAUGCCACAGUCAGUCACAACAAAUCUUUGGGGACUGGAAAUUUGUAUAUCAAAUAUAUCUGGAAUAAAACGUGGUAUGGAAAAUUCUACGAGAUCUGAUUUCAUCAAAUGAAACGGUACACACACUUUCACAUGAAGAUGCAUACUACGUGAA